UACGUAGGGUGCGAGCGUUAAUCGGAAUUACUGGGCGUAAAGCGUGCGUAGGCGGUUGGCAAAGUCAGCUGUGAAAGCCCCGGGCUUAACCUGGGAAUGGCGGUUGAAACUAGUCGACUUGAAUCUGGCAGAGGGGGGUGGAAUUCCACGUGUAGCAGUGAAAUGCGUAGAGAUGUGGAGGAGCACCGAUGGCGAAGGCAGCCCCCUGGGCUGAGAUUGACGCUCAGGCACGAAAGCGUGGGGAGCAAACAGG
rnacentral:rRNA from 1 species